UNUGACUUGAGUGCAGAAGGGGAGAGUGGANUUCCAUGUGUAGCGGUGAAAUGCGUAGAUAUAUGGAGGAACACCAGUGGCGAAAGCGGCUCUCUGGUCUGUCACUGACGCUGAGGCUCGAAAGCGUGGGUAGCGAACAGGAUUAGAUACCCUGGUAGUCCACGCCGUAAACGAUGAGUGCUAGGUGUUAGGCCCUUUCCGGGGCUUAGUGCCGGAGCUAACGCAAUAAGCACUCCGCCUGGGGAGUACGACCGCAAGGUUGAAACUCAAAGGAAUUGACGGGGGCCCGCACAAGCGGUGGAGCAUGUGGUUUAAUUCGAAGCAACGCGAAGAACCUUACCAGGUCUUGACAUCCCGAUGCUAUUCUUAGAGAUAGGAAGUUACUUCGGUACAUCGGAGACAGGUGGUGCAUGGUUGUCGUCAGCUCGUGUCGUGAGAUGUUGGGCUAAGUCCCGCAACGAGCGCAACCCUUAUUGUUAGUUGCCAUCAUUAAGUUGGGCACUCUAGCGAGACUGCCGGUAAUAAACCGGAGGAAGGUGGGGAUGACGUCAAAUCAUCAUGCCCCUUAUGACCUGGGCUACACACGUGCUACAAUGGUCGGUACAACGAGUUGCGAGCCGGUGACGG
rnacentral:rRNA from 1 species